GUGUUAACUACAUGAGGAACUCACAAUCCUAGAAGCAAGGUCACCUCUGUUGCUAAGAUGAAGCAAUCUCCCCCCACCACCCCCACUCAGCCCGGAAAAUAGAAGUUGGUCCCAUUUUCUGAAAGGCCAACCAGACAAGGAACCAAUAGUGCUUCAACAGUGUGAUAAAAUUCAACAUAUUCGUAAGUGGGAAAUUGUCAACAAAGUCCAAAAGAAACACAUUUGACUUCAAAAGAAAAACCAUCUAAAAAAUGAGGGGACGUGAAAAGGAAAGUCAAGAAGGUCAAAUAUCUACAGAACAUGUGCAGGCUAUUUAAAACCACAAUAACAGAAGCUCAGCUAGAAGGCACACCACUAGGGAAAAGUGGCAGCAAGCCCAAGAGGAUGCCAGCAUGGCUGAGUGAGUCAAGGAAGCUAUCAAAGGCAAGAAGGCUUUCUUCAGAAAACAGAAAUUUUGCCCAUAUGAAGAGAACAAAAAGGAAUAAACUCUUGCAGAAGAAAUGUAAGCUAGCAAUUGAGAAGUCUGAACAAGAAUGCACAUUCUCAAACUGUGGGGCAGGCCCCCCAGAAAAAUGCCCAGAGGGGACCACAAUAUUCCACAACAUUCCAAGAAGGAUUGUAAGAAACCCUGGGAAGAGGGCGAAACCCUGAAGAAGUGACAACGCUCGCAAAUGACACUAACAGAAUUUUAACAAGGCAUCUGCAAAAGACCAAAAUAGGGACGGUGAUUCACCAGGGACAAGUAUCAGAAAAUAGCAACUGUCCCUGGUAAACAAGAGCAGUCGGAAUAUAUGAUAUUGUUAGAAAUCUGUAAUACACUGGACAAAUACACAGGUAUUUAAUUCA